AGUCGAACGGCAGCGAGGAGAAGCUUGCUUCUCUGUCGGCGAGUGGCGAACGGGUGAGUAUAGCAUCGGAACGUGCCAAGUAGUGGGGGAUAACCAAACGAAAGUUUGGCUAAUACCGCGUAAGCUCCAAGGAGGAAAGUAGGGGACCUAAAUAAGGCCUUACGCUAUUUGAUCGGCCGAUGUCGGAUUAGCUAGUUGGUGGGGUAAUGGCUCACCAAGGCAAUGAUCCGUAGCGGGUCUGAGAGGACGAUCCGCCACACUGGGACUGAGACACGGCCCAGACUCCUACGGGAGGCAGCAGUGGGGAAUUUUGGACAAUGGGGGAAACCCUGAUCCAGCCAUGCCGCGUGUAUGAAGAAGGCCUUAGGGUUGUAAAGUACUUUUGUUAGGGAAGAAAAGCUAGUUUUUAAUAAAAAUUAGUGAUGACGGUACCUAAAGAAUAAGCACCGGCUAACUACGUGCCAGCAGCCGCGGUAAUACGUAGGGUGCAAGCGUUAAUCGGAAUUAUUGGGCGUAAAGCGAGUGCAGACGGUUACUUAAGCCAGAUGUGAAAUCCCCAAGCUUAACUUGGGACGUGCAUUUGGAACUGGGUGACUAGAGUGUGUCAGAGGGAGGUAGAAUUCCACAUGUAGCGGUGGAAUGCGUAGAGAUGUGGAGGAAUACCGAUGGCGAAGGCAG
rnacentral:rRNA from 1 species